GAUGAAGAACGCAGCGAAAUGCGAUAAGUAGUGUGAAUUGCAGAAUUCAGUGAAUCAUAGAAUCUUUGAACGCACAUUGCGCCCUUUGGUAUUCCUUAGGGCAUGCCUGUUCGAGCGUCAUUUAAACCUUCAAGCUCAGCUUGGUGUUGGGUGACUGUCCGCUUCACCGCGGACUCGCCUCAAAAUUAUUGGCGGCCGGUACAUUGGCUUCGAGCGCAGCAGAAACGCGAACUCGGGCCCGUCGUAUUGGCUCCCAGAAGCUAUCUUCACAAUUUUGACCUCGGAUCAGGUAGGGAUACCCGCUGAACUUAAGCAUAUCAAUAAGCGGAGGA
rnacentral:misc_RNA from 1 species